AGUUCCUUCGGGAAUGGACAAAAUGGAUAGUAGCUAGUUUUUUGGGAUAGUGGCAGAAGGGUGAGUAACACGUGGGUAAUUUACCUUGAGAUGGGGGAUAGCUUCGAGAAAUCGGAGGUAAUACCUCGUAAGUCUGUAGCACUUCGGUACUACAGAGAAAGAUGGCGAGUUCCUUCGGGAACGCUAUCGUCUUAAGAACAGCCCGCGUCUUAUCAGCUAGUUGGUGGGGUAAUGGCUUACCAAGGCUAUGACGAGUAGUCGGCAUUAGUGUGUGAUCGGCCACACCGGGACUGAGAUACUGCCCGGACUCCUACGGGAGGCUGCAGUCGAGAAUCUUUCCCAAUGCCCGAAAGGGUGAGGAUGCGACGCCGCGUGGGGGAUGAAGGUCUUCGGAUUGUAAACCCCUUUUGUAAGAGAGGAAACGUCGAUAGUGAAUAAUUAUCGAAACUGACAUUAUCUUACGAAUAAGCCACGGCUAACUCCGUGCCAGCAGCCGCGGUAAUACGGAGGUGGCAAGCGUUACUCGGAAUUACUGGGUGUAAAGGGUCCGCAGGCGUCCUGAUAAGUUUUAGGUGAAAUCUUUCCGCUUAACGGAAAAACUGCCUAAAAAACCAUCAGGAUAGAGGACAAGAGAGGAAAGCAGAACUGCCAAUGUAAGGGUGAAAUCUGUGGAUAUUGGCAGGAAUGCCAGUGACGAAGGUGGCUUUCUGGAUUGUACCUGACGCUCAGGGACGAAAGCUAGGGGAGCAAACAGGAUUAGAUACCCUGGUAGUCCUAGCCGUAAACGAUGAGCACUAGGUGUUUCCCACGUUAGUGGGGGGCGCCGCAGUUAACGCGUUAAGUGCUCCACCUGGGGACUACGGCCGCAAGGCUAAAACUCAAAGGAAUUGACGGGGGCCCGCACAAGCGGUGGAACACGUGGUUUAAUUCGAUGCUACGCGAGGAACCUUACCAGGGCUUGACAUGCUUUAAGUAUUUCGGUGGAAACAUUGAAAGACCGUAUCCAAUCGGAGUUUAGCACAGGUGCUGCAUGGUUGUCGUCAGCUCGUGCCGUGAGGUGUCGCCUUAAGUGGUCUAACGAGCGCAACCCUCACUUUUAGUUGCCAUUUUGUCUUUUAUUAGAUAAAAGCACUCUAAAGGGACUGCCCACGUUAAGUGGGAGGAAGGUGGGGACGACGUCAAAUCAGCAUGGCCUUUAUGUCCUGGGCUACACACGUGUUACAAUGGCGUAUACAGUGGGAUGCAAAGCCGCGAGGUGAAGCAAAUCCUUCAAAGUACGCCCCAGUUCGGAUUGAGGGCUGCAAUUCGCCCUCAUGAAGUUGGAAUCGCUAGUAAUGGCGUAUCAGCAACGACGCCGUGAAUACGUUCCCGGGCCUUGUACACACCGCCCGUCAAGCGCUGAAAGUGAGGGGCACCCGAAGCCCCAACAUUAGUUGGGAUCACGGUGAAUUUCAUGAUUGGUGCUAAGUCGUAACAAGGUA
rnacentral:rRNA from 1 species